AGAUCGUUUUACCACUUCUGCUGUCUCUAGCGGGUUUCUCCUUUGUGUGAGUUCCCUGUUUGUCAGGGCAAAGCUUCUCCCUGAAACCACUCCCCCGUUCACUGCACGCAGAGGACUUCUCCCCCGCGUGGACCCCGUGAUGUACCCUGAGGUCCGAUCUGCAGCACAAGGCUUUCCCACACUUCGUGCAUUCGUGGGGUUUCUCACUACUGGCUCCCUGAGCUGCAGGAACUCCCUCGUCACAGCUUAAAGCACUUCCACACUGGUGACCUCCGCGUGGAUUCGCUCCUGAAGGUGGAGUUUCAAGUUUCGAACAGAGAAGAAGUUUCCGUGGCCGUCGCACUGAAAUCUCCUCCUCGCCAGACUUCCAGGAGCCUCAUCCCCCGGCCCCCUGCAGGCCACCUGCUCACCUGGGAAGCUCCACGUCCUUAUCUCUUCCUCCUCCAUCCAUGGCUCCUUCCCCUGCUCCAAACUGGAGAUCACAGCUGGUUUGCUGACUUGACACCCUCUUGGGGAGAAACGGUUAAAGGAUUUGUGCUGAGCCAGCUGGGCCUUCCAAGCAAGCAGACAGUUCAGCCUGCAAAACAAAAGGUGGACAUCUCAGCCACAGAGAGCUGUUUCGCUUGGCAGGUAACUUCACGAGGACUCCAAGUGGGAUCGAGACUCUGACCACUGAAACCCAAGGCCAAGCACUUUUAUUUUUCACACAGGGUCUUGCUCUGUUGCCCAGGCUGGAGUGAAGUGGCACAAUCACAGCUCACUGCAGCCUCAACCUCCUGCACUCAAGUGAUCCUCCCAUCUCAGCCUCCCGAGUAGCUGGGACUACAGGCAGGCAUCACCACCCUCAACUAAUUUUUUAAUGUUUUGGUAGAGAUGGGGUUUUGCCAUGUUGCCCAGGCAAGUCUUGAACUUGGGCCUCAAGGGAUCCUUCCAUUUGAGACUCGCAAGUAGCUGGGACUGCAGGCACAUGCCACCAUGCCUGGCUAAUUUUUUAUUUUUCGUUUGUAUAGAUCGGGUCUUGCACCUGUGGCUCAAGCAAUCCUCCCACCUCGGCCUCCUGAAGUGCUGGGAUCACAGGCAUGAGCCACCAUGCCCAGCUUAGCACUUUCAGUGCGUGAGCAGUUUCCCAGUUUUAUACAACUAAGAAAAAGAGUUCAUGUAACCCGAGGACCACGGGGAAGUCUUCCUCACCCACAGAGAGCAGGUGGCUGUAGUUCUCCAGCAUCACAUCCUGGUACAGGGUCCUCUGCUCCAGGUCCAGCUGCUGCCACUCUUUCCGGGUGAAGCCCACAGCCACGUCCCCGAAUGACAGUGACCCCUGGAACAGCACAUGGCUGAUUAAUGUGGAGUGGUUGGCACUGGGUACCAUGGCAAAGGCGUAGAGGAGAUUGAUCUUACCCCCUUCCGAGGUCAGCUUUCCCCAUAUUAGGUUACAUAGAAAGCUGAGCACACCCCUAACUUUGUACUACACUUUGUGGAAGAGAAAAAAAAAAUUGUUAGAAAAAAUAUCAACCGGGUGCAGUGGCUCACGCCUGUAAUCCCAGCACUUUGAGGGGCUGAGACAGGUGGAUUGCUUGAGGUUAGGAGUUUGAGACCAGCGUGGCCAACAUGGUGAAACCCCAUCUCUACAAAAAAUAUAUUAGAUGGACGUGCUGGUGGGUGCCU
rnacentral:lncRNA from 10 species